GACGAACGCUGGCGGCGUGCUUAACACAUGCAAGUCGAACGGAAAGGCCCUGCUUUUGUGGGGUGCUCGAGUGGCGAACGGGUGAGUAACACGUGAGUAACCUGCCCUUGACUUUGGGAUAACUUCAGGAAACUGGGGCUAAUACCGGAUAGGAGCUCCUGCUGCAUGGUGGGGGUUGGAAAGUUUCGGCGGUUGGGGAUGGACUCGCGGCUUAUCAGCUUGUUGGUGGGGUAGUGGCCUACCAAGGCUUUGACGGGUAGCCGGCCUGAGAGGGUGACCGGCCACAUUGGGACUGAGAUACGGCCCAGACUCCUACGGGAGGCAACAGUGGGGAAUAUUGCCCAAUGGGCCGAAGCCUGAUGCAGCAACGCCGCGUGCGUGAUGACGGCCUUCGGGUUGUAAACCGCUUUCGCCUGUGACGAAGCGUGAGUGACGGUAAUGGGUAAAGAAGCACCGGCUAACUACGUG
rnacentral:rRNA from 1 species